GACGAACGCUGGCGGCGUGCUUAACACAUGCAAGUCGAACGGAAAGGCCCUGCUUUUGUGGGGUGCUCGAGUGGCGAACGGGUGAGUAACACGUGAGUAACCUGCCCUUGACUUUGGGAUAACUUCAGGAAACUGGGGCUAAUACCGGAUAGGAGCUCCUGCUGCAUGGUGGGGGUUGGAAAGUUUCGGCGGUUGGGGAUGGACUCGCGGCUUAUCAGCUUGUUGGUGGGGUAGUGGCUUACCAAGGCUUUGACGGGUAGCCGGCCUGAGAGGGUGACCGGCCACAUUGGGACUGAGAUACGGCCCAGACUCCUACGGGAGGCAGCAGUGGGGAAUAUUGCACAAUGGGCGGAAGCCUGAUGCAGCAACGCCGCGUGCGGGAUGACGGCCUUCGGGUUGUAAACCGCUUUCGCCUGUGACGAAGCGUGAGUGACGGUAAUGGGUAAAGAAGCACCGGCUAACUACGUGCCAGCAGCCGCGGUGAUACGUAGGGUGCGAGCGUUGUCCGGAUUUAUUGGGCGUAAAGGGCUCGUAGGUGGUUGAUCGCGUCGGAAGUGUAAUCUUGGGGCUUUAACCCUGAGCGUGCUUUCGAUACGGGUUGACUUGAGGAAGGUAGGGGAGAAUGGAAUUCCUGGUGGAGCGGUGGAAUGCGCAGAUAUCAGGAGGAACACCAGUGGCGAAGGCGGUUCUCUGGGCCUUUCCUGACGCUGAGGAGCGAAAGCGUGGGGAGCGAACAGGCUUAGAUACCCUGGUAGUCCACGCUGUAAACGGUGGGUACUAGGUGUGGGGUCCAUUCCACGGGUUCCGUGCCGUAGCUAACGCUUUAAGUACCCCGCCUGGGGAGUACGGCCGCAAGGCUAAAACUCAAAGGAAUUGACGGGGCCCCGCACAAGCGGCGGAGCAUGCGGAUUAAUUCGAUGCAACGCGUAGAACCUUACCUGGGUUUGACAUGGAUCGGAAGCGCUCAGAGAUGGGUGUGCCUCUUUUGGGGUCGGUUCACAGGUGGUGCAUGGCUGUCGUCAGCUCGUGUCGUGAGAUGUUGGGUUAAGUCCCGCAACGAGCGCAACCCUUGUUCACUGUUGCCAGCACGUUAUGGUGGGGACUCAGUGGAGACCGCCGGGGUCAACUCGGAGGAAGGUGGGGAUGACGUCAAGUCAUCAUGCCCCUUAUGUCCAGGGCUUCACGCAUGCUACAAUGGCUGGUACAGAGAGUGGCGAGCCUGUGAGGGUGAGCGAAUCUCGGAAAGCCGGUCUCAGUUCGGAUUGGGGUCUGCAACUCGACCUCAUGAAGUCGGAGUCGCUAGUAAUCGCAGAUCAGCAACGCUGCGGUGAAUACGUUCCCGGGGCU
rnacentral:rRNA from 1 species